UACGGAGGGGGCUAGCGUUGUUCGGAAUUACUGGGCGUAAAGCGUUCGUAGGCGGCUCUAUAAGUCGGGUGUGAAAUCCCACGGCUCAACCGUGGAAGUGCAUUCGAAACUGCAGAGCUUGAAUAUGGUAGAGGGUAGUAGAAUUCCUGGUGUAGUGGUGAAAUACGUAGAUAUCAGGAGGAAUACCGGUGGCGAAGGCGACUACCUGGACCAAUAUUGACGCUGAGGAACGAAAGUGCGGGGAUCAAACAGG
rnacentral:rRNA from 1 species